CCUACGGGAGGCAGCAGUAGGGAAUCUUCCACAAUGGGCGAAAGCCUGAUGGAGCAACGCCGCGUGGGUGAAGAAGGUCUUCGGAUCGUAAAACCCUGUUGUGAGAGAAGAAGGUGCGUGAGGGUAACUGUUCACGUUUCGACGGUAUCUAACCGGAAAGCCACGGCUAACUACGUGCCAGCAGCCGCGGUAAUACGUAGGUGGCAAGCGUUAUCCGGAUUUAUUGGGCGUAAAGGGAACGCAGGCGGUCUUUUAAGUCUGAUGUGAAAGCCUUCGGCUUAACCGGUUUACUGCAUUGGAAACUGGGAGACUUGAGUGCAGAAGAGGAGAGUGGAACUCCAUGUGUAGCGGUGAAAUGCGUAGAUAUAUGGAAGAACUCCGAUGGCGAAGGUAGCAUACCGGAGCCCAACUGACGCUGAAGCACGAAAGCGUGGGUAGCGAACAGGAUUAGAUACCCCUGUAGUC
rnacentral:rRNA from 1 species